GCUUAGCCUUAAACUUUAAUAGUCAAAACAACAAGACUAUUCGCCAGAACACUACAAGCAACAGCUUAAAAUUCAAAGGACUUGGCGGUGCUUCACACCCACCUAGAGGAGCCUGUUCUAUAAUCGAUAAACCCCGAUCAACCUUACCACCUCUCGCUUAGCCUAUAUACCGCCAUCUUCAGCAAACCUCAACAAGAGAUAUAAAGUAAGCACAAAUGCCCACGCAAAAACGUUAGGUCAAGGUGUAGCCUAUGAGUUGGGAGAAAUGGGCUACAUUUUCUACCCCAGAAAAUAAUACGACAGCUCUUAUGAAACCUGGGAGUCCAAGGAGGAUUUAGUAGUAAACUAAGAGCAGAGUGCUUAGUUGAAUCAGGCCAUGAAGCACGC
rnacentral:rRNA from 1 species